rnacentral:lncRNA from 1 species
AAUCAAUUAAAAGUUUAGUAAAAUUUAUUUUUAAAAGUAUUGUGAAUUUUAAAAGCAAACAUAUUUGUUUAGUAAAUCCUUCCAAUUAAACUAUUAUAAUAAUACAAAUGAUUGAAGUGGAUAUAAUAUUAAAUAAAUUUUAAAUAUAUAUUAUCUAUAUAUUUUAAAAAUUUUACCUAACACUAAAAUUAAUUUUCAAAAUUACUUUUGAACUUAAAAAGAAAAUCUCAAAUGAGCCGUUAAAGAUGUUCAUCUCAUUGUUUUAAGAUUAAUUGAACAUAGUUAAAUAAUAUGUCUUAAAUGUGAUAUCUAACCAACACAUUCCCUCUAUUAUGAUGGCACUUGAUAUUGACCAAGUGCCAAUUAAUAUGAUUCUUUAAUCAAAAUUUAAGAAAAUAAACAUAAAGUUUAAACCAAAUCCCCCACCCAAAAAAUAAUUAUGGUAGCAAUUAAACUCAAAAAGUCAUACUAUAAUUAGUUGCUUAAUCCUAUGAAACAUUUCUCUAAAUCUUAAAGUCAUUGAAAUUAAAUUUGAUGAUAUCUUAGUAAGUCUCAACAAUUUUUUUUUUUUGGGUUAUUUUCAUCAACUCAAGAUAAUAUUAUGAAAACUUAUCUUUAAUAUUAUUGAUGGACUUUUGUCAAUUAACUAUUUCGCUAACAAAUAUCUUAUUUAGUGAUUAUAAUUUGAAUUAUUUAUCUUAUUUAGUGAUCACACAUUUCUUUCCUUUCAUAUUCUUUUUUGAGAUAAAUUAAUGUUAAUUCUGCUUAAUCGAAGGAUUUGCUCAAAAUGUGGUGGUUGAUAGAUUCCAAAGUUCUAAGCAGAGAGAGUAUAAACCAUAACAAUCAUUCAGACAUUCACCAUAACAAGUCUUAUUAAGAGUUCGAGGGGACAAUUAAACUGAACAAUGGUAUAAAUAUUGUUAAAAUAUAUUCAGGAUCAUAUCGAUCAUUAAUGCUUCAAUCAGACCCAUAUAAUAUUUUAUUUAUUUUUCCAUACCUAGACUUUGGAGAAUAACAGAGGAACAUUCAAAUAUUGUAAAAAUGAAACAAUCAUUUCAGUCUGCAUUGACUUUAGAAUUAGGAGGAAGCAACCCAUUAAUGCAUAAACUAAACACAACCAGUCAAACGCAGAGAUAAACAAAUAAAAUAAUAAAGAAGUUUCCAGUCGAAGAGGUUUUAAUUUAAUUACAGAGACAAAAAGGAAAGAUGAGAUUUUAAAUGCGGUCGUGGACCGACCGAACGAAACCCAGCAGCACAUGAAUGAAGUUUCAACUUCCCCAGUCGGAACCGAAAACUUUGCCGUUGAAGAAUUCAAAUUUCAGUUCAACCCUCUUAAAAUGGCAAAAAUAAUAAUAAUACAACUCUCUCUCUCUCUCUCUCUCUCUCUCUUUAUUUCGAAGAAAAGAAACAGAAAUUACGCGGCACAUCAUCUGUUAAGUAAUUUGACUGAGAUACGAUAUGGAGGCUCAGGCUCUUCAAAUCCAUGUCACCACAUGGACCGCUUCUAAAUUAACGCACAAGAUGUCUAGUUUUUAAUAGAGAACUAUACAGUAUUAUGAUGGUAUUUCAGUGCACAAGAUUUCUCCGUGUAUAUCAUCAAUAUAUAAACUUAUGUACAAAGUACAAUUUAAUCGGUUAUUCGGUUUAGAUAUAAAUAAAAUUUUUGUUCGAUACUUCCAAUUUGAGAAAAAAAAAAAGAAGAGCCAAAAGCCCUAUUAUUUGAUAAAACUAAUUGAACCCUUUAAAAUACAUCCAAACUUUCAUGAGUGUCAAUUUUUUUUUUACUAAUCUUACUAUUUUCUCUUUGGUUGUUGUUUGAAGAGAAUUUUUAAUUAAAAAAUAUUUAUUUAAUUAAAUAAAUUUAGAAUCAUAAUUAAUUAAAAAAUUAAUAAAAAUUCCAAAAAUUAUUUUAUUAAUUAAAUAAUUUAAAAGCAUUUGUAUUCUCAACAUCAAACAACGCUAAAAUAGUAAGAUCGCAAAAAAAAAAAAAAUUGAUAUUCAAGAGAAUUUAGAUAUCUUUUAAAAUACGAAGAGAAUUUUUAUUAAUUUUUUCAAAUAUCAAGAGGUUGUCUCUUUUUUCUCUUCCUACUUAUUUUCAAAGAAGCUGCAUCGUAUUCUCUCUCCUUCUUCUUAGAUCCGAAUCUUAAAUCUUUCACCUUCAAACAAUUCGCAUCUGCCGCAUGCCAUGUCACACAUCAUUCUUAAUAAGUGAUCGACGCGUAUAUAACUACAGUAGUUCGAUCAUCAGUCAGAAACAAAAAUUUUACCUUAUAAUAAAAACCAAUGAGUCUCACCAACAUAUGUAUAAUAAUAUACCCACUCCCUCUUGAUUCUUAAACUUAAAGAUAGUAAGUCUUCCCACGAUCCUUUUCAUGGGCUCCAAUCGAAGCAAAGACUUAAAAGUCUUGGUGCAUGUGCUUUUUCAAAAUUGGUUAAGGCAUCGGCACUUUGGCAUCUCAGUCGUCUAUGACCUAACAAUUACCAUUGGCUUCGGUUGAGGUCGGGACUCGGCCAGUCGACGCUCCACAAGGCGAUGACUCAUAGUCAUGUCAACGCGUGAGCUCCGUUUCACUCAUUUUGAUUUGCCAAUUGCUGCCGACGCUGUCCCAUUUUGCAUUAUUAAUUAAUUCUUGCUUUGAUUUCUAAUUAAAUUAUCCAAAUGCCCUUCAAAAAUUCAGGAUUUUCUACCAUCUUUGUUUACAUCAAUAAAUAAAUAAAAAUAAAACAAGAAUGUGUUGAUUGAUAAUGAUGUGCGUACAUGUGUUUCUUAGUUACAGCUAAAAUAUAUAUAUAUAUACAUGUAUGUAUCCGAAGUCCUGACGAGGAUUUCAACUCUUUUAGAUGGUAUCAAUUAGUUAAAUGAUGAGUCGUCUUUACAUUAAAAAAUUAUUACACCCGAGUUUGAUUCGACUUAUACGUACAGAGCUAUAUGCGAGAAAAACGACACUAAAGUUUUUGGAGUAAAUAACACCCAAUUCGAUAACAACGUAACUUAAUUAUAUAAUUUACAACUAGUGAUUGACAUUUUUCUCCAGUUUGUUUUGCAGUUGGAGUUACGUUCUUAUGUAUAUAUCUUCCUUGAUCUCUUUCCUAGAUUGGAAAAAGAAAUUUUAUUUAGAAAUGACAAAAGCCCAAUAAUAAGUCGACGAUGCGGAAAGAUAAAAAGAUUGAUAGUUAAGAGAAACUAAGUUUUGAAUAAUAAAAAUUUUAUUGAAGAAAUCUAAAUGGACGAAAUUAAGGAUUAGAGCCCUUUUAUACUAAUUAUAAGUAUAGUAAAUUUAUAAAAAUAGGCAAUUCUGAAAUAUUAUCUUAUAAUAAAUUUCUCCUAAUUAAAAUAAGGAAAAUAAAAUAAAUGACAGCGAAAUUUGAUAUCUAAAAAAAGAUAAAAUCCUGAAAGUAAUAAAUAAAAAAGAAAAUAACUAAAAAAACUACAAAAUGAUUAAGAAAAAAUGGAAUUUUCUGUUUAACUACGGAAAAAAUUGAUGUAAAUAGUUCUGAGUUUGGUUUCUCUCAUCGCAAACUUUGAAACAAUAUAUUAUAUACCUAAAAUAGACACUUGUAAUUCAUAUUGUGACCUCCAGAAAAUACUAUGUUCAUCAUGUGCAACCAUCCUUCGUCACAACUCACAAGCUAACUAACCCGACUUGUUUCUCUUCAAAAUUGAAACUUUAUUCAGUCGAUGCAACAAACAUACUUCGGAUAUACAAGGGAGCAUUUGGCAAGCUCUGCUCUCAUUGUUUGCCUGGUAAGGACAUACCUCGAGUGAUAUGCUUAAUUAAUUUGCAUUUCUUUUAUUUGGGCAUUUUGUGAUUAUUAAUUUGUGCGGGGAUAGGCGUAGGGCAUACUUACAGGCCAAUGAAAGAAGUUCAAUUAGUUGGAGAUUCCUAAACGAAUAUAGAAAGGGGGGAAAAAAAGACAGUUUCCAGGUUUGACCAGCUGGAUAUAACACCAUUAAAGAACAAAUGAACUCUAACAAGCCUUACAAAACAAUGCAGCACAAAGAGACUUUCUAAUCCACAAUUUAAUAUAUCUUGGCAUCCAUAUAUGUAGAUUGGUGGUUCCUAGGCCUUACAGCUUAGGUAAGAAUUGAAAUUGUGAUUGCCGUUAAUCGGGGUUAACAUAUGUCAAAACAAUGUGGUCAUUGGUCCCACGGCAAGGAUAUCAUUUGCCAUAUGAAUAUGACAGCAAUUCGAUAGGUGCAACGGCUAAUCUUGGCAAGUUAAUCAAUUGUGUACGGUUUUAACAAGUAGAUAAAUAAAGUCGUGGGUGGACUAAAAAGGGAUACGGGAUUUAGUUUAGCCAUUUAGGUAGAGAGCGGACAUGUGAAAUGAUAUUUUGUGCGAUGGAGAAGAGGUGUGAAAAAAGAAAGGGUUGGCGAACAAUGUGAGGUUUAGUUCGUUCAAUUCAGAUAUGAAGAGUAUCAAUUAUCAAAUGAUGAUACACGUAAAACUUGUGUGCGGUUUUUGAUUGAAACCAUAUUCUGCAAGUUAGAUGGCCAAUCUUUUAGAUAAUAUUCUUUUAAGAAUCAGUAGUCGACAUUCAAUUCUUGUCCAAAAAAAAAAACAACAAAUCACAUUUCAAACCAUCCCGGCCCACUUCUUUCAUUUCCAUCUCAAGCUUUACACACCAUUUCAUCAAUAAUUUCAAAAACUCGGCAUUUUCAUUCAGCACUCAAAGUUGAAACACACUUGCAGUUCCAUGGAUUCCCCAAGCUCCGACACGCAAGGCAGCCAACUAAAAUUCGAAAUAUGGCUCAGCCAAAUAUAUUAAAUCCAGCAGCAACUGAACUUCAACAGUCAUUAAUGGCUGAAAUUCAAUCAGCCAAUACAAUUCAGCAGUAGCCAUUUAACAUCAAGCAGAGGCAACAUUGGCCUUGUUAAUGGUGUGUGUUUGAAAGUAUCACACAUUAAACAAAAUGGAAAACGACUCAAACUUACAUCUACCUACAUCUAUGGUUGAGUAAACAAUGAUGCAAUAUCUUUUCAGUUAAAGGCUUACGCAAAAAAGAUGAUGUAUCAUCUGAUCCUUCCAAAAAAUGUGUCAAAUGGGAUUAGUUUGAGCUCUGCUGCCAUUUAUCAAUAAACAUAUUUCCUGUCUCACACGUUGUAGGAUUCAUUAGCUAGUAACUGAUCAGGCCUGAGGUAAUUGCCGUUCAUGAUUAAAAUCAUUUAGUUAAUACGUAUCUAAUUUUGGUCAAAUGAGUCAAGUACAGAAUGUAAAUGAAAAAAGAAGAAACACUCACCAUCAUCAUGUACAGUGUUCCGAGUUGCAUUGGCAGUUUCAGUAGCUACAUCCUCCUUGAUUCUUAGUGCCUGAUCUCUUCUCCUCCUUGAUUCUCAGUGCCUGAACUCACUACAUUGGCAUAUAACACUCUGUCAAUGACACAAGACGAACAACAUUCCAAAAAGCAAUUUCCGUUUCGUCAACAACCUUAUAACAGACGUCAUCGUGUAUCAAUUUCUACAACAUACACCCUUAAUUGUGCAUCAAUCAUUUCUACUCAUCCAAAUGUCAUUAAACGGGAAUUUAAAGUUAAAUGAGAAUACAUAACAUAACUCAGACUUCCAACAAAGACAAAGGGUAACAGGAAUAACUAAUGCUUUUGGUUUAAAAACUCUCUCAAUUAGUCACCACCUCCUUUCACUUUCUGGCCGCCAUUGUGGCCUCACCAGCUGUCGCUGGUGGUGACUAGCCACUGCCGGCACCACCCCUCACUGCCACCCAACCAGCUGGCAGCCCAUUUGCCAAACAUUGCCGCUCCAAAUCGUAAUCCAAGUUCACAGCUUCCCCAUCAAAAUCUACCAUUGCCAUCCACCCUUAGCACCAUGCAUUUCCUUUUGGCCGCCGCUCGCUCUCACUCUCAGCCAUCAACCGGUCCUUUGACUACAACAGCCUCAAAAAAUCCAAAUCCGACCCUUCACCAAAACCCUAGCUUGCUUUCUCUUCUAAUAGUUCCUUUACUGCUAGAAUCUUGGUGGAGUAUGAAAUCUUGCGGCCUUUAUUGCCGCACAUAUAUGGAUUAGUGGGGGUGAUUUUUGAAUUUUGGUAGGAUGUUGUAUUUGAGAGGGUUCUUGAUUAUUGUGAUUCCUGUAAGGUGGCCACUCCAUUGAUGCCUAUUAUGUAAUUAAUCCUGGGCUUCGAAAGCCCCAAAAGCCUAUUGAUCAAGCGCAAGUUAUAAUUGUUCAGGACAAGGGUAUGAAGCCAACGUCAGAUGUAGAUGUGCAAUCCCGGGUGACUCCUGCUUCUCAGUAUGUAAUUGUUGCAAAUAAUCACCCUAAGGACCUAUUUUUGUCCCCUUUUAUGAUUUGGAUACUAUUGCCUAGGUUUUUGUGAAUCAAGGUCAAAGCUUUGGUUCGGUGCUACAGCCUAAUUCUAUUGAUAAUCUGGUUAGGUACAGGAUUCUGUGCUCCAGGUUAAGUUUGAUGUGGCUGUUGAGCCUAAAGAUCACGAUGAUUCUCCUCUGCAGGGUCCAGUUGACCAAACUAGUGAUGUUGGAGACAUGGUUUUGGAUGAUCUAAGUGUUGAGAGAGUUUUCACAGGCUCCAAUUUCUUUGAAUCUGCAGUGGAAGAUUUUCGGAAUAUGGCUGUGGGCUUCAAAUCGCACUACUAACAUUUCUUUCCAAUUUGAAGAGGAUUUUAGUUCCGAUGGAAAACCUGUAGCUAAUGCAUAUUUCUUAUCUAAUCCUGAGGUCACUAGAGGGCUUGAACUUAGCCUCAGUUUCAGUGUUGCUAGCCCGCAUGCCACUGGUUCAAAAAAAGAUUUCACUUUAGUUAAUGGUCGCAAGUAUCGCAAGGGACAGUCUCUCCAUUAGCUUUUUCUUGCCUCCGUGGUGGUUCUUUUCUAAGGCUUUGUGCUUGUCUUGUCUUUGUUUGGUAUUUUUGGUCUCGAUGCUUUUAUAUAUAUAUAUAUAUAUAUAUUUUGGUUGAAUUGUUCAUUGCCUUUAGCUUGGAGGUUUUGUUUCUUGAACCCCUCAAGAUGCUUGGCUCUUGAUCCCCUUAAUAUGUUCUUCAUUUAUUUUUAUCAACCUACAAAUAAGAGGGUUCGCCUAGCCACCACCCCUUUCUUUUGGUAGUCUUUAGUUAAAAAAAUGAAAAAUCAUCAGAGCAUAUAAAGUAGAGCCUUUAUAAUAAAUCCAUCUAUUUCUUUUUCUGGAACCUCUACAAGCUGUAUUAAUAACAACAUCAUCCACCUAUGCGCCUCCAUCAAACACACGCAUCUUAACUGUUGUCUGUUGACACUGCCAAAUUUAAUUUCAAGCUGAAAGGCAUUCCCAAACGACCAACACCGUGAACCCUAAAGCCUAAAAUCACUAAACACAAACGUCGAGCCACCCAUUUUCAGAUUUUUCAACCCAAGCAUACGAAAUACCAGAUUAGUGCAAAAAUGGCUUCAAGCAAUUUUUUUUUAACAAAGAAUAUCCAUUUAUUCUCAACAUACAUUUGGAUUAAAUACAAGCCCUAAAAUAAAAGUAUUCGAUGACCAAAAGCCCGGAAGCAUCAGCCACAUUCACGCAAUUAUUUUAAAACCCAUUUUCAUUUUUACCUCAAAUCAUCAUCAUCAAAAGAAAAAAAUAAAAAAGAAACAAACAUGCAAGGACAGUUAUUAAUAUUUUCUGGAUAAAAGACUGCUUUUGUUUAUUAGGCAGUUGAUAUAAGUGAGUUUCAUAAAUUUUGUGGAAACCCAUGUAAAAAAUUUUGGAAUUAUUUGAAUCCAUUAUGCCUAAAAUGUCCUUUUAUCGUGUUGCCCUAAUUCACCACCUGCAAAUUUUAUACAAACAGCGGGAGGGGGGGGGGGGGGGGGGGGAAGUGGACAUACAUUGAUAAGUUUGAAACUUUAUCAAGCUGAGAGCACGGUCAACUGCAGGCGAGGAUAAUAAAAGGGGUCAGGCUGCAUUAUAAAGUUAAGCCACUCACCUCCGGGUUUAAUUUCUUCCCUUAAUUUAAAUAAAAUAUUUAUCCAAUACUGGAGGAGAUGAAAUCUGAUGUAUUAUAUAAAAUUUAUAAAUUUAAUACAAAUAAUUAUUUAAUUAUAAAAUAUUUUUAUUAUAUUGUAUUCAUUUUGUGCAUAUAUUACAUGUGUGUAUAAUUACAUAAUAAUUUCUUGGAUCUAGACCAUUUUAGUUUCAUUUGAGUAGAUGCUUAUUUAUGAGCCUGACUGACAUGAAACCCAACUCAUUUUAUGCCUUGGAUUUGGAGGCUGGAGCUCAUCCUAGCAGUGGAUUCGAAAAUUAGAGAACUUUCACAAAUCUAACUACUGAUAAUGUAUUCAAGAAUUUUCGCUGUUUUUUCUUUUUUGCAUUUCUUUGUAUUUAAUGCUAUUUAUUUGCUCAUUAUCCUUACUGUUAAGAAAAUGUUAAUGUCAAAGACGAUAAAAAAAGACCUAAUAAGUGACAGAGGGAAGAGAAUGAUUUUAUAUUGCGUUUACUUGUCAAUCGAAAGUCAAUCGAAAGUCAAUCGAAAUGAGCUAGAAUGAGAAUGGAAAAUAGAUUGUUUACUUGGGUUGUAGGAAUCGGAAUCAGAAUGGACUGGAAUCUCAUUGAUGUAUUUAUUUAUAUUGGAAUCGGAAUCCGAAUAAGCUGAAUUAUUUCAAGUUAUUAAAACGUCCUUAGUUAAUUAUAACAAUAACUAUCAUCAUCAUUUGUGAUUUUGAUCAUUAUAAAAAUGAUUGUCAACAAUAAUAAUAAUAAUAAUAAUAAUAAUAAUAAUAAUAAUAAUAAUAAUAAUAAUAAUUAUUAUUAUUAUUAUUAUUAUUAUUAUUAUUAUUAUUAUUAAAAAUAAUAUCAUUAAUAAUUUAUUAAAAUAUCAUUUGUUAAUUAUUGUCAUUUGAUGAUGAUGAUGAUGACGAUGAUAACAAUAAAAUAAUAGUAAUAAUUAAUAAAUUAACAAUAACAACAACUGAAUUCCAUAAUAAUAAAAUUUCAGUUUUGUUUUUUUUUAUUUUAUAUUUUUUAAUUUCCAAAGAGAGUAUUUUGGUUAUAUUUAAAGGGUAGUGGGGAUAAUUUUGUCAUUCCAGUAAAUGGGUUUCCCAACCUUAGGGUUUGAUUCACAACUCUAGCAAUCAAUUCAAAAUUUAUGUAGGGCCGUGAAGCUCAUUUUCAUUCCCAACUAUAAUUUAGUAAGUAAAUAAAUUAUUCAUUCCGAUUCUCAUUUUUUAUUUAUUCUUAAUUUAGCAAGUUAUUCGUUCUUAAUUUAACAAGUAAACACAACAUUAAUUGAUUGAUUUUACAAACUACAUUAGUAGUUUAUAUGACAUUUAGGCAAAGUGUACGGAUUUAACUGUAAAUUACCCUACGAAUGAGUUGGGGUGGGUGUGAUUACAUCAAACUGGGGGUGGAAAUAUCAAACAGAACUUCCUAUCACUCAAUGAGGCCCAUCAAAUUUAACAAGGAGCCCAUUAAAUUGUUUUAGUCGUCUUUUUAUUUACCAGUCUGUCUUUGUUUUGCUGGCAAGAAAAGCACGUGUGCAAGCGACCCAAUAGGUGACGGUGAAUUUAGUGAAUGUUCCCUUACCAACUGGCCAUCUGUCUCUUAGUGGGCUGAUAUACGUGUAUUAUAUAUAAGACAACACGAGGUGACACAAAGUCACAACCUUCACGUGUGGGGUGGGCCUUUCUGUGUGAUCGCUCAAAAGAAAGGGAGAGACCAAAUUUUGUGGUGCAAGUGAUUUGGGUCUCUUUUUCUUGGCCUUGUAUGUGUAGUGUGACAAAUCAGAAAUCAACAGAUGACAGAACCUGUAAUGCAAAAACAUUUUAGGAUGGGGGAGGGUCAUCCUAUGUCUAUGUCAACCUCUUUUAUGGGCAUCAACAGCUGCUGGUAUGUUAUCACAUGGAGCCCAAUUCUGCCCUCCACAUCUGCUUUACCUUCUGCAAACUUUUGUUUCCUACCCUUGAUGUUGGAGAAAUUUUAGAGUGCAUCGAAGCCUCUACAUCUAAUUAAUAUAUGUAUGUCAUGUAUGUUUUUAUAUUGAAAAAAAAUUACGAUAUAAUUGGUAGUUAUAUUUAAUUGAACUACAUAUGUCAUGCAUAUAUUAGUUGAACAUAAUACAAUCGAUAAUUCUAAAAUCUCUCUUUGUUGUCGAAAAUAAUUUCUUAUUUUUUCUAAGAAGAAUGUUGGUAUAAGUAACUCACUCAUAACUGAGAUUUAAUAUUUUCUUAGUUUGUAUUUUUUUUUUCUUUUUGAGGCACACUGAUAGAUACGCAUUACAAUUAGCAUGCUAUUGACAUGUAUAGCAAAAUAUCUAUUGAAAUUACCUUAAAUCAAAUCUCUUAUGGUGCAAUCUAUAUUUCUACCUUUAUUAUCGAAAGAGUAUAUAGUCCAUAUUAUGAGACAAAUUUAUCAUUACAAAAUUAUAUUAAUGAAAAAAAAUUAGAUUAGGUAAGUAUUCUAACUUAAAGAAACAAUGAAAAAUAGACACACACACACAUUAAAUUGAUUAAAAAUAGCCUCCAGUAUCCUCCGUGUCCAUGGUCCAAGCAGUUUUGGACAGCCGCGUCCCCCAUGGGUGAUCUAAUAACUAUUCAUUGUACAAUUUCAGCCACAAAGUCCUUUCUCAAUAAAGAGAUCAAAUAGAUAACAUAUACUGUAAAGUUUUAACCUCGAAUCAAAGAGAAAGAAAGAAUUGGAAUACUCAUUCCAGCAAGUGCCAGAGCCCUCCUUCUUUAUUUAUUUAUUUAUUUUUAUUUUUUAAAUGUAAAGGUUGACCAAGACUUAAUCUAAAUUUGGUGUUGAUGAUCCCCAUAAGAAUGGGACCUCCAUGCAUGAUUACAUUUAUCUUUUCCGAAAGUGGGUUUAUAUGAUCAAAUAUGCUUAGGUUUUUGCUUAUAAUAUCAAAAUAUUAAUCCAUUGGGGUGAGGGACCGAAGACCCAUCUGCAGAAAAGCAGUUUAUAAUCAAACAAAGUAUUAGAGAAUUUUCAAAUCAAUGGUUCUAUAUCCUUUGAAGGGCAUACUAGAGCGUAACAAGUACCAUGGGAAAAUUAACAGUAGAAAAAAAAAAAAAAGUGUCACUGAUAUUUGAAAAAUGUAAUGAUUGGACACUUUCAAUUUCAAUUCCAAAAGCCAUCAAAGCUCAAGUCACAUGACACGUAUACUUAGGAUCUCAUCAUGGAAGAUUUAGUUUUAUCUUGACCGACCACCUAAGUAGUUAGUUACAAGGCAUCUCUUACACAACAUGAUACAUAUCCUUAUGAACUUUAUUAAAGUUGAUAAGAACCCGCACCUGUUAUUAAAAGAAGGGUCAUGAAAAGAUCGAUUCACUGUUUUUGUUUUUCUUCCUUUUAUUUUUUAAGGGAGCUCUCUGAGAUUGUGUAACGCUAGGUGCUAAUUUAAUACAACAAUAAUCUACAACUUUGUGCUUGUGUCAGACAGUUUGUGAAGAGCAAAGGAAACGAAGAGUUUAGAAUAAGCUUAAGAACAUUAUCAUGUCUAAGAUUCAAUGUCUUUUAAUUAGUGAUUCGUUAAAACAAUAUGAUUAAAUUUCAGUAGUGCUAUAUAUUUUAAAUUUUUUACAUCAAGAAACUAUCUCAAAUGACAUGACAUUUAUUAAGUGAUUGCUGAGAAUAAUACAAUUAAUUCAUUUAAAUUUUUAAUGAAUCACCAACCAAUAAAUGAAUGACAUAUCAUUUGAGAUGAAAUUUUAAGAUAAAAGAUUUGGGAUAUCUAUUAUUAUUCUUUAAAUUUAAAGUCACUAAAAAAUAUACGUGUGAAUCGAGAUUUAACUAAAUUUUGUUUAGUGUUUAUCGUUUACGAUCAAGUUAAAUUCACUUUUUGGUAGAAUUAAUUUAUAAUUUUAUGUGAUAUAUAUUAUGUGUGUUGAGUAAAAUAUUAAUCCGUGAUUGAUGAUUACAAGACAAGAAUAAGUAAAUCUGAAGAAUAAAAUGAACAUUGAGCGCCGCACACAAGUGGUUAAAGAAAAUUAAAUUCGGACGAAAAAGAAAAGAAAAGAAAAAACCAUCAAUCUUAAAUCAUUGCGAAUCAAGUUGACAUCUAAAUUAUUGGUAACAUAAACAAACACAUAGUAAUUCUACCAAUAAUUAAUAUAAAUUAAAGAAUUGAAUGUGAACUUUCCGGCAGCCAAACAGCAAAAGAGUGAAUGUCAAGCCAACAGAAACAGUAAAAAGAAAAAGAAGAUAAUGUGUCUUUCUAGCCAUGUAUGACCUUAAGCAGUUAAAAGGGGGAAGCAAAUGAUGAUUGGAUUACUGUAAAUGAUGGGCAAAAACAUAAGCUAGCUCAUACAUCUCACUUUUUAUUCAUUUACUUACUUCUCCGUUUCGGUCAAUAAUAAGCAAAAGCAGGGAACCCAAUUGUCGUGUCACACUCAUCUUGCCCAUCCCAUGCGCUGCACGCGAAUCUUUGACAAUGCAUGGGGAGUUGGUGACUUAGGGAUACGAGUUAUAUACAAAUCCCAUCAUUUACCAACUACUAAUUGUGAUUUUCAAGCGUUUUAGCUUUUUACUCUUUGACUAAUUUGCCAAGUAAAUAUAACUGUAUCCGAAAUCAAUUAAUGUACCCCAUUAGGGUUUUUGCUUGGACCAGCCAAUGACUGGAGGCGGACACAAAUCUGCAACGUGUGCAGGAUUUAUCAAAAUCAGGAUUUUAAUCAGCUGAAACACAAAGAGCCCACAUGAUGUAUGAAUAUAUGAGAUGGGGUUACCACCUUGGAAAAGCUGAAAGUGGUUUUCGUUCAAUUUCAUGGUCCCUGUGUUAAAAUUUAAGUCGGAAUGUUACAAUUCAUAGACUCUGCAAAUCUGGCUCAGUUUUGUGGGGGCGUUUGUCAAUUUGCAUGCUCUCUAAUACGGACAAAAUCUCAAGACUCAAGCCUUAAAAAAGGAUUAUAAGAGACAAGACAGCGAUCAAAGAAAAUUAAAGCUAAGCUUGUGACGUUUUGUUUAUACUUUUUAGAUUAAUGUCUGGCAGCGGCAGCAACAGUGGCCCAACUGGCCUAAUGCUGAAUCAUGUAAUUUCAGUGUCCAUGCCUCUGUGGCGUCUUGUAGUUAAUUUGUUGACUCCAAGAGAGAAUUUAUGAAAGGCAUGGAGAGCUAUUAAAGCGGUGCUGUGUGGUAUAUCCAAAGCUCUGAUAAAUCAGUAUCAAUACAGGAAGCAGAUGUCAGAAUAUGCAUGAUUCAUAUCUCUAUUCUGCUUGAUUUUUAUUUGAUAAUUUUGUAUUACUAGCGAUAUAUGCAUGCUAUUAUUGGUAUCAUUAUAAAUGUACGAGAUUGGCAUACCGAAUAUUGCGUGAUGAUGCUGUCUCUAAUACUAGCCACAAUUUCUUUUGAAUUGAAACUAAUGGCAAGCUUGCGAAUGAACAGAGAUAUAUAGAAGAAGUAGAUAAUCAACUGUAUAAUGCAUUAUGCAUGUAUGCAACGCAUUAGUUUUGCUUUGUAUACGUUUCCUUGGUUGCAAUAAAAGCUGGCAAUGUUUCGGCAAGCAGUAUCAGCACAUCUUUAUAUCACGGUGAUUAAGCCCAAAAGAGGCUAAAAAUCCAAACGGAACAGUUAACCAUUUUAGGGUCAUGGCCGUCACCAUUCAAUAAUGUAAACAUUACAGAAGAUUCUCAGUCCCUUCUACAGCUUUUUUAAGGGAAUUUUUCCUGUUAUAGAUCUGUAAUUAAGUAUAUCUCAAAAUCAUUUUUAAUGAAAAAAAUAAAAGCAUAUCGAUCUCCGGGAGAUUGUAUGGUCCUGAAAAUUUUGCUUUAUUCAUCACGAUACAAGUACCUUAAGAUCUAACAUGAUCUAACCCAGGAGAUUAUGAAAUUUUGACCUGUUAUAGAUCCAUAACAAUCUUUGAUCUACUUGUAGACAAUAUCACAUAGUGUCGCUUGAUUUUAUUGUUCUUUUAUGCUGUAAGUUUGGUGUAACGCAUUAAGCUUAAAAUAGAUGCUUCAACUUGAUUCUUGUAUUGCCCACACGGGUUUGCUCAAGUGAUUUUUAAAUAAUUUUAUUUGGGUGGCCACUAGAGUUUGAAUCUCAAAUGUCGUAAGUGGCCCAACUAAAUGCACUAAUCCAUUUCAACUCUACGCACUUCAGCACAGUCUCACUCUCUAAAAGAUAAUUGGUUUAGACAUUGUUCACUCUUAAUUUUUGAAAUGAAUAACAAUAAGGGAAUUGAUUCUUUUGUUAUUAACCACUCAUUGAUCAAGUAGUGAACUCCAACUGUAUUAUUGAGAUGGAGGGUUUGAGUCUUCUGUAUCUUUUAGAAGUAGAUUUUAUAAGUCAUUGUAAAAUUUAUGGUGCAACUAUUAGUCAAUUUGUAAUAUAAUAUUAGGAAAAAAAAAAGGAGAGAAUACGAUUCUAGUAUCAUUCUUGUGUGACGCAUAAACAAAAUUACUUUAUGAUUAGUUUUAAGUGGUAUGCAUACAAUGUAAACAAUAAAUUGUAUCGUAUUCCAAAUUCAUCCAUACUAUGUUUGCUAUUGAAUGAAUAAUUUUUUUUUUUUUUUGAACAUUCAUGGUUUUGAAGUUUAUUAUUAUUACUGGUUAUGAUGACAGUUAGCUCAGCUGAUAAUAUCUCUCAAAUGGUACAAAUCAAUUCGUGAUUGUAACUCAACUAAGACACAUGCUUUAUUAAAAAAAUAAUUAAAUAAAAUAAUUACAACAAUAUUGGUUACAUUUUGUCAAAAUACGAUUACAUUCAUGUGAUACAUGCAACCUGUAAAGGGUCCAAAAUAAAAGUGAGCAAGGUACAAGGGACCCACAUAACGGGCCCAAGAGGGCCCUUUGAAAAAGGCCACUGUCGGUUGGCCGCCCCGAUGGGUGGCAAUGAGAAGGACCAUUUACCAUUACAUUGCCCACCAUUUCAAUUGUGGAUUGCCCAUUUUUCACGUAGUGUUUACAUCAAAAUUUCGCCCACAGAAAAGCGAAAAUACCCACUCAGUCAAUUCACAAUUACCCUCGCUCCGCUGCUGAAAUUUCAAUAUUGCCACUUGCCUUACUUCAAGGUUGGCACUGAUCGAGCCUAGACGUAAAUGGGUACCAUUUUCCCUUGUGAUCGUGUCGAGAAUUGGUGUGACAUAAACUGAUUGUGGUGCCGUACCGCAUUUGUUCCAUUUUAGAGGAAAGAGAAAAAAAAAAAAUAUAUAUAUAUAUAUAUAUUAAUAAUUAUUUUUUUGUACUCAAAUGACACGCUUAGGAGUCCGAAUUGAAGUGUGCUUCUGUUUCAUUGAUUAGAUGAAUUGAUUAACUACGUCCUUUUCCAAGAAUUUAAUUAAUUACGUGAAUGAAUGAAUAAAAAAAAAUUAAGAUCGUUACAAGUGAUUUUUCUUGUUUCCCCCCUCCUUCCAUUUUGAUGAUGAAUGAAAUGAGUGCUUUGACAGCUUGAGGAUUAGCCUUAUCACUCCAUGCUGUUUGCUUUAGCUUAAUUAAAAAUUUUCCAAAUCUUUAAUCGGGUUUAAGAGAUAAUCGACGUAUUAUAAGCUGGAAAAGUAACCAUUUCAUCAUUUAAUGAUGUAGACAAAUAAAUUUGGGAUAGAGAGUCCAAGUUGGCUCACAAUUGACGUGAGGGUUACCUCUCUUGAUGAAGUAACGAGAAUUUCAUUUCCCUAUUUAUAUAGUUUAUUUAAUGGUUAUAAGUACUUAUUUAAUUUCAUAAGCUCUUAUCAUAAUAAUAAUAAUUAUUUUUAUUAUUAUUUUCUCAUAAUCUCAUAAGCUCUCAAAAUUUUAACUUAAAUAAAUUAUACUUAAAAAACUAUAUCAAACGGAGCCUUAAUCUCGAACAUAUAUCAUAUUAUAUGAUAGCAUAACUUUAGAUUAAAAAUAUCCUCUUAAAUCUUAAUUCUUAAAGAUAUAUCUUUGUGAGAACACCUGUAACUUUCAAGAUGGUUGUGAUAUUCGCAACUUCAUCUCUCCUGAUUGUCCAAUGGAGCCCACUUUCCCAUCAAUCUCAGCCGUAAUGAUGAAAGCCAUCGUUAAGUAUUCAGACAAAUUAAACGAAGCAAAAUAAUGAUGAUAAAGAAAAUAAAAUAAGAUAAGUAUAAUUAUUUUUAUUUUGUUUGUUUGAUUUUUUUUUUUGUUCUUUUUAUAGUAAACCUUGAGAAUCCAAUGCAAAACAUAUUGACUAUGACCUUUAACUGCCUGAUAAUAAAAGUCACAGCUUAGCAGCAUUUCAUUAAUGAAACUUUAUACCAAAAUUUUCUCUUGCAUUACAUUAGUCUAAUAUCAACUUCUGCAUGGUACGUUUAAUGCUUCUUCGUUUUCACACCAAUAGUAUGCAAAUGUGGUCACGGUGCUCGUGGACCAUUUUGCAAUUAAUACAACACUAGGACAUUUUCGAUAUUUUGGGGAAUCGACAAGGGCAAUAUUUGGCUAUUUGCUUGCUGCCCACUACGUAAUCUAUCUAUAAAUAUACGGCCAUAGGUGAUAGUGAUGCACAAAUCCUAUUCCACCUUUUAGCAUCCCUUUACUUUUUUUGGGGGGGGGGGGGGGGGGGGGUAUAAAAUCUUUAAAGGUAUAUGUGGUAUAAUUUAGAAAGGAAAAUACUUUUGAAAAAAUAUUAUUAUUGAUUUCUCUCCCUAAUAUUAACUUUUUGAUAUUAAUAUGGAAUCGAGAGGUGUACGAUGUUGCGUAUAAAAUAAAAUAGUUUUAAGUGUUUUGACUAAAAUAAUCAAGAAGAGGAGGAGGGCACGGUAAUAAUAAGAAUGGUGUGGCAAUGAUGAGAAAGAGGGAGACACAAGUGGGCGCAGGAUAAGCACGUGGGCGACGCCCGCUUUCAUAUUUCACGCUGGGAUGGCAUUUGCAUUUAAGCCCAUUGAACCACAUUCUUGUUCAAGUUUUAACACUAAACAUAUCUUUUUAUUUUUCUUUCAAAAGAAAAAAAAGAAAAGAAAGUUUGAUACAUACAUGUAAUACAUGAUACCUACAGUUUUGUUAUCUCAAGUUAAAACAAACUCUUGAUGAAUGAUUGCAGAAAGCUAGCGUUAGAUUUGAGGUUGCUCUUCCUGAGAACUAGCCUUUUUGGUUUUAUCAUGUAUUAAUGUUGUGACUUGUGUGUUCUAGCUUCUAGAGCCAAGUGGAUUCAUUCUUAUUAUUAGGAGGGGAUUUUGCCUCUUUGUUUGCAUGUCCAGAUCAGAUGGGUUCGGUCAAAUGACAUACACUUUGGAGUGUUUGAUCUUCUCUGGGUUUUCUGUCACUUGGACUAUUUAUGCUAUAAAUUUUCUUUAUAUUAAACUCUAAAAGAGUGACAUGUUAUGUUUUAUUAUUGCUGUUGUACCCACAAGAAAAAACUCUUGGUAUUCAUUUCUCCUUCAGCAUCCUCUCUCCUCCAUCAAAAUUCUAUCCUACUUAUUUAUUUGAGUUUCUGAGUUCUGAAUUUUUGGUCAGGGCCUGGAGAACAUCAUUUUGGCUGGCUGCUGGAUAGACUUUUCUUUGGGGCAGCUUUUAAUAGGUUAUGAAUGAAGUUGGCUUAUCUGAGUCCUUCUGAGCAUUUGGUUAAGAUAUAAACUUAAGCAAGAGAAGAAAGAGUAGAAGAAUCAGUCAUGAAGUUCAUGAAACUUGGAUCUCGGCCUGAUACCUUCUACACUUCUGAGGCUGUAAGGUGAGAAAAACAUCACUUAUUCAAACAUGACGUUUUCUUGAAUGAAUAUGUUAUUUUUCUUUUCUCUCUUUUUUUUUUUUUCCCGGAGAAAGUACAAACAAUUUCUUUUCUGAAUGCAGGUCAAUCUCCUCUGAAGUCUCUAGUGAUCUCAUAAUUCAAGUGAAAGGAAGUAGAUACCUGCUUCACAAGGUAAAAUUAGGGAUAUUGAUAUUAGUCGUUUUUAGAUUAUGAUUUUAGGCUUUAUUUUGAUUGAUUUUUAUUUUAUUUUUUGAAUGUCAUUCCUAUGCAUGCAGUUUCCUCUGUUGUCCAAGUGUUUGCGGCUGCAGAGGCUAUGUUCUGAGUCCCCUGAAUCCUCACAACACCAGAUAGUCCAACUCCCUGAUUUCCCUGGCGGUAUCGACGCAUUUGAACUCUGUGCAAAGUUUUGUUAUGGAAUUACAAUCACUCUCAGUGCCUACAAUAUCGUAGCUGCAAGAUGUGCUGCCGAAUAUUUGCAGAUGACAGAGGAUGUUGAGAAGGGGAACUUGAUAUACAAGAUUGAGGUUUUCUUCAAUUCAUGCAUCCUUCAUGGGUGGAGAGAUUCCAUUGUGACUCUACAAAGCACUAAAGCCUUUCCUUUAUGGUCUGAGGAUCUUGGAAUCACGAGCAGAUGCAUUGAAGCAAUUGCUUCUAAAGUUUUAACUCACCCCUCAAAGGUGAGCUUAUCACAUAGUUACUCUAGGAGGGGAAGGGAUGAUAUAUCUUGUAAUGGUGCGGAGAGCCAAAGGCACAAAGCAUCAACCAAAGGCUGGUGGGCUGAAGAUAUGGCAGAAUUAGGCAUAGACCUUUAUUGGAGAACCAUGAUAGCAAUUAAAUCUGGUGGAAAGAUCCCCUCAAAUCUUGUAGGCGAGGCACUGAAAAUUUAUGCAUCUCGAUGGCUACCUAACAUAUCGAGAAAUGGACGUAUCAAUAAUCACGAAGCAUCAGACUCGGAUUCAGAUUCAGCCACUGAAGUAACAUCAAAGCAUAGGCUACUUUUGGAAUCAAUAAUAAGCUUGCUUCCGGCAGAGAAAGGUUCAGUUUCUUGUAGCUUCUUGCUUAAACUCCUAAAGGCAGCCAAUAUUCUUAAUGCUUCCUCUUCUUCAAAGAUGGAACUGGCUAGAAGAGUUGCACUUCAAUUAGAGGAGGCAACCGUCAGUGACUUGUUGAUACCUUGUCUAUCAUACACAAGUGAUACUUUGUAUGAUGUAGACAUAGUGAUGACAAUAUUGGAACAGUUCAAGUUACAGGGGCAGAGUCCCCCAACUAGCCCACCAAGGUCCAAGCUGGGAUUUGAAAGGAGAAGGUCCCGGUCAGCGGAAAAUAUUAAUUUUGAGUUACAAGAGAGUAGGAGAUCUUCUUCAGCAUCUCAUGGUUCCAAACUCAAGGUGGCAAAGCUUGUGGAUGGAUAUCUUCAAGAGAUUGCCAAAGAUGUUAAUUUGCCACUGUCAAAGUUCAUUACAAUUGCUGAGUCUGUACCAGAAUUCUCGAGGCUUGAUCAUGAUGAUCUCUACAGAGCUAUUGACAUUUAUCUCAAGGUAAACAACGAAUUGGCGUCAAUUGUUUUCAAAAUUUUACCUUAAACUCACCUUUCUAGUUGCCUAACAAUGUUUAGACAAAUUUCGUUAUCAUGUUUUAGGAUGUGGGUCACCAUUAGCGGUAGCUAACCAACUCCUUGACCUUAGAAUCUUGUCUUGUCUGCAAUUUAUUGGCAGUUGGGAUGUGACUGACCUAACAAAAUUAGCUUGAAUGAAGUCUAGAGCAUGUGAAUAUAGAUGUAUAUUUAGACUUCUUGUUGGUUGAGAGUUUUCUUGCUGUACAAUCUACAGUCGUUUUAAGUCAGAAUAAAACUAGAAUCCUCCUAAGUUUUCAAUAUGGAGUUAAAAGUCCACGGUCCACACAGAUAUAUCUGCAGUGUGACCGGACCUUGCACCAUUGACAUGUUUCCUUUUUCAUAGGGCAUGAAUUAUUCACAAUUCUUUGAAUUACGGGGUCGAAAUGAGAUAUUAAAAAAGAAAUUACAUGGACCAUGCAGGCACAUCCGGACCUAAACAAGUGUGAAAGGAAAAGGUUGUGCCGAAUUCUAGACUGCAAAAAAUUAUCUAUGGAGGCCUGCAUGCAUGCUGCAAGAAAUGAGUUACUCCCAUUAAGGGUGGUGGUACAAGUUCUAUUCUUUGAGCAAGCUCGGGCCACAAUGGCCGGUGGCAAAAUGACUGAGCUGCCUAGCAACAUCAAGGCACUGCUAGCGGGGCAUGGCAUUGACCCGUCAAGGCCUCCACCACCAUUAAGCACCACUAGUACCAUUCCAGGGGAUGAUCAAUGGAGCAUCUCAGGGCUUAAAUCUCCAAAAUCAAAGCUUUCAACUUUACGAAUGAAACUAGCUGAAGAUGAUGAAUUAGAUGAAAAUGAUUUGCACCCAGAUGGAAUGGGAAGAACUUCCAAAUUUAAGGCUUUCUGUGCUCUUCCUGCACGACCCAAAAAAAUGUUCAGUAAGUUGUUAUCAAUCAAUAGAAGUUCCAGUGAAAAGAAUUGAGUGACUUAUGCUUGUUUUCGAGUUGGGGCUGGUAGGGUAACUAAUACUCUUGUUUUUUGUACUUUAAGAAAUGGCCUUGUAAUUUUUAGCUUAAAAACAAAGAAUAUCAAAGUGCAUUGUCGAUGUAACCUGUUAGAUUAUUGUCUCAAAUUCCUUGUGUUAUUUGGACUACUCAUCUGCCAUUGGAGAAUAAGAUUAUAAUUUUCAGAACGUGAGAGGAAAUUCUUUGUGUGAUGUGAAUGGAUCUCAAUUCUGAAACUAGAGAAUAGUUGCAACCGAGUCACUGUGGGACCACAAGUGGCAUUUGUCUAGAAAUCUGCAACACCUGAUUCUGUCACUUUGUUGCAGAUUAUUGGAUCCUCAGAUGAUAAAAAAGUCAUCUGUAAUUUGGGUUUCUGACAGUUUGCAGCGCUGUGAUACUGGAAAGCUUUUUGUCUUGUGCCUUUGUCUUGAGGUAAUCAUUUCAGCUGCCUUGUAAAUUCCAUCGAAUUAUGAGCAAAUUAGGCCUUGGCGUUUGGGCAGAUCAGAGAUCUGCUGAUUCUGACUUCUGGGUGGCUGGAAAAUUCUUGUCACCCAUGAUUGUGCCAAUCUUGUCAGCAAAGAAAAUGAUAAUGGUAUCAAAAUGCGACAUCUGCAAAAUACAGAUAUACAUAAGUUUAACACAUGCUGGUAUGGCAAGUCAUUCCAUUUAUUAUCAUAAUUAUGCACCAUCAAAAAUAAACUGGAACUGGAAAUGCUGAUUUGCCAAAAAGUUUAGGCAACUUCACUUAGAAUAACCGAUCCAUCAAGUUGGACACUUCUGAUGUGUUUACAACCAUAAGGGUCAACUAUUAUCUCUUUGUUCCAUAUUCUUUGGUACUUUUGAGAGGAAUAUUCCUAUAGAAUAUGGUGACUCCUUUUAAAUUUCUUCACUUAGCUUUCGUUCUGUUUAGAAUUAUUUACAUAUACGGUUGAAUUUUGAAGCAUUGAUGAAGACAUUUUACUGCUGUGUUCGCUUGAAUUUUGAUACAACUCGGUGCAGUCUGAAACAUAAUGUCGUCAUUAUUUGUUUUAAUGGAAAGUACGCAUAGGCGUGAGCCGAGUCCUUCAACAUGUAUAGGUUAGUUACUCAGCAUAGUCAGCGACUCAUCAUGAAUCAUGAUCAUCAUAGGCUUUCACUUUUGACUGUAAAGUUAGAACUAUCUUCUAGCAGCUGCAAGGAUUUUUUUUGCAAUAUUCAACUCCAUUUACACCUCCAACUUUUCCCUCAAAUCCUUACUGCUAAAAAUAAUAAUGUUAGGUUUCUCUUAACAUUUAAAUCUUAAUUUAAGUCUCAAUUAAUAUGAUAUUUAUUUAUUUAUUUAAUAGUGAUUAAAUAAUCUUAUAAACUAUGAACUUAUCAUCAGGUUUAAAUUGGACGUCAAAUAUUAGGAUUUUAACAUUAUUAUUUGUUUUAUUUUCUAUUUUUUAAAAAAAUAAUCUCAAAUUUAUGUCGUUAAAUCGUAUCCAAGUACUAUACAUUUCCAAUAUCUAUGACUAAAUUAUCUCCAAUCAAACAUUAGUGGCCAUUUAUCAUUUGCAGGUGUCGGGUCUAAACUUGGUAGCUCAGAUAUUAUCAUGUCAAUCAAUUUUUAGAAUCAUUGAAGAAAUGAAAUUGCCUGAAUAAUCUUAAAUCUUAGAUCCUACUGGAUUUAUACGGCUGACAGCUGAGUCCAAGGUUUGUUUGGUAUUGUGAUUGGAAAAAGCCGCCGUACGUUAAUUUUAUUGUAUUCUUAUAUCAUGAAAAAAAAUUAAUAUUUUUUUUUUUUUCAAAAUUAUUAUUUAAAAAUCAUAAUUACCCCAUAAUACAGCUAUUAUGUCACUUCAAUUUAGUAUCAAAUAGGGCCUAAUUAUCAAGGAAAUCUUCCCAUGAAAGAUAUACUAAUUAAGCCAAGACAAGUUUACUUGCAAUUCUUCUUCUGCCUUUACAAGAUCCUAAGAUUAGUACCUUCGUUAGCUGCACCUAAUGAACAGGGCUUAACCAGAGAGCCGGUUAGUUAUACUAUAUUUACACCCCGAAAAAAACUUAUAAUUACCUUCAAGCAAUUGAUUACAUUACAUCGCACACGCAGUGUUACAACUUACACGCAUUCAUAAAACGGAGUAGAAUUAAUAGAAGAUAUUAACAGGAUUAAAGCAGAAACUAUAGAACAUCAUCAUACAGAAGCAAUGUAACAAAGAUAUGAGAAGCAGGGUAAUUAACGAUCAGAUUUGACAUAUAUACAGAACAUAAUAUCGUAAAAACAAUCACUGAGCCUCAAUGGUGUUUGCAUUACUGGUAGCAUCAGCCUUAGAGGUGGAGUCUUUCGAGUCAAUGCUUUUAGUCCGCUGGAGACUCGGGGCCCGGUGAAGCCUGCACCUGAAGGAACCUGCAUGUGUGGUAGGCGAGCAUAAGCAAAUAAAGCAAUUGCUCUUGGCUGAACUUGGUUGUCUUGUUAGCCCCGAUGUUGGAGAUACCAUUUCAGUUUCUUGUGGAGUCUCCACCUUCAUAUCAUUUUUGUUGCUCAUAUGUUCGCUAUCCAUUCAAUUUUCUUCCCUUAAACUUUCCCCCCUGCAAGAGCUAAUUCACGGAUCAUGUUGUGUACCCACAAAAUGCAAAACGAAACAAUAAUAGUUUGUAAUUCGAUGAGAAAUUGUUACCUUUGGACUUUGGUGAUGUUCUUGAUUGACCCAGAAAGCACACCACAAAAAUGAAGAUCAAGUAAGAGAAAGAGAUGACAUUGGGAAUGGCUAAAAAUGACAAUAUGCUUUAUCUAUUUCUCUAUCACGGGAAUAAUAAUCGAUUCCAUUAACGUCCCACCUAGAUAUAUCACUUUUGUUGUGGAUGCCUCAACCACUCCCCCCAAUUAGAGAACCCAUCAUAUCAAUAUGACCCCAUUACGUUUUGUAUAAUUUGAUCUCUUCUUUUUGGGCAUGCACUUGAAUCAUGAGGUGCCAUACCAUGCUUGUGAAAAAUCUUUAAAAGGGUCCCCCAUUAUCAUGGCAGACGUUCUCGUGGGCGUCAUUUUUGCUCUAUCGCUUCUUCCACCAAUUCAUAUUUAUCAAUGACUAUUUUAAUUAAGGACGAAUUUUAUAUAUAUAUUUUUUCCCCUUGCCUUUUUUUCCCUCUUUAAAUUAAUAUGAGGAAGAAAAUUCACAUGCAUCAUCAUACAAGGACAUCACACUUUUGACCGUUCUUUAAUUAUUUAUAUCGUGGAAAUUGGAAGAGGAUUGAUGUAGAACAUCUUUUAAGUAGGCAGAAUUUGGAUAAAUGAAGUUAUAUGUGGGGUAUAAUAAUAAAUAAUCCCAUUUAGUCCCGUUUCGAAUUGUUUUUAGAAGACUCAAAUGUGAUUUUAAAAACUAAAAACUAAUUUAAUAUUUUAUUUUAUUUUUUAAGAAAUAACUUCUAGCAUAAUCAUUAUAUCUUACAAUAAAUUUUGAAGAGUGGGGAACAAUAGUUUUUAAAAUUUUGAUUUUGAGAAUUGUUUUUAUACUUAAUACAAUUCUAUAUAUAUCCUUACAUAUAUUGUAAAAAUCUAAAAUUAUACUUAUUAAUUAGGAAAUAAAAUUAGUAACUUUAGAGUGAUUAUUAUUUUUAUCAAUUAUAUUGAGAUAACAAAAUACAAAAUAAAAUUAAUAACAUAAAAUAUUUAUUUUAAUUAUAAAUUAUUAUAUGUGCACAAACAACAUAUUUUAUAUACAUGUUUAUAAAUGUUUAAAUAAAUUUAAUUUAAUAUUAUAUCUAAUUUAAUCAUUUAUAUUCUUACAAUAGUUUAACAAUAAGAUUUACUAAAUGCAUAGACAACUUUUAAAACUAGUAGCACUUUUAAAAUUAAAUUUUAGUAAAUAUUUAACUGAUUCUUCUUAUAACUAGUUAUUUCUACAAUGCAACUAACAAUAAUUAUUUUAAAAAUUACAAUAUUAUCAAAUUAAUCCUAAAAUUGGUUGAAGGGUGUUUUAUUUAUUUAUUUUUGUUAAUAUGACCAAAAAGGCAUUGUCACGAGCUGGACUCAAACAAGCACCCUCUGGGAGCAAAACAAAAGACAUACCCAGCGAACAACCUUUUUAGAAAAUUUGUGCAAAUAUUAAUGAAAGAAAAAAAAGGUCCACCAUAAGGGGCCCACUGGAUGUGAUUUUUCGGUUGAUUACCCCACACAAGAGAUAACUACAUGGUGGCAUCCCACAAGGCAAUAACUUUUGAAUAUGUGUCAAAAGAUUUCAACGACAGACUGGAAUCCGACCUAGCUCAAUAAUGUUUCAAGAAUUCUAGAACUGCAUUUUUUUUAAUUUAAUCCAUGCGUGCGUGGCCUAGGCUCAAAAUGCAGACAAUUACAGUGGGCCGACAAGCACCCAGUGGGCUAGCAAUUCAGAAGAUCAUAAAUCCAAUCCAGUAAUAUCUGCAGACACAAACACGAAAGCCCAAUAUGUCCUUUUGUUUUUAAUGGACACGUCCUUUUUCUUGAAAAAGAAAAAGAAAAAGAAAAAAUUCUACCCAAACUCUGAUUAGAUAAAUAGACUUGCAAUUUCACCACAAAAAAGUACAAGUGGGUCUUGGCACUUGUUACUUGCCAAACCAACAGAAAAAUAUGGUAGUACUUAAAAAUAAAUAAAUUAAAGUAAGGUUCAUUAAUCCCUUCAUAAUCUUAUGGGAUUUUAACAUUUUAGCUGCCCACAAUUGUAAGCUAAACCCCCCCAGCAACUCUCCACUGCUAAAUAAUGGUCCAGAUCCUCACUGACCUUCCUACUGUAAACGGAUAAACCAGUCAAAGUGUAAUAUAGCCAAUGAUAUGAAAUUUGUUGUCGGGGUCGAAGUUAGAAAAUCAUUAGCUCAUAAGGGGCACAUAACAAUCAAAUAAAUUUUUUAAUGAAAAAUAAAAUUACUAAUAUACUUAUUACCAGAAAAUUAUGUAACACAUGUAAUUUCGUGAAAAAUUCAUAUGAGUGUUGGCAAUUAGUAGAUAAAAGGAUAUAAGAAUACUUAUAGUUCUAUAUGAAUAGAAUUUGUUCUGAUAUGAUUCUAUCAAGCCAGCUGUUUUAUUUUGUUAAAGAUAUUUUUAUCAUCUGAUUUAAACAAAUCAAUUAUUCCUCCCCAUUUGUUUUCCCUUUAGCACAGCAAUUGACUUUGGUAUCAGCAAGCCAGCCAGCUUAGGGCAAAAAUUGUUUCUUUUAUCUUUAUUUAUCUAUCUAAAACACCACAAUCUUCAAGUUGCUGAAACUAGAAUUAUACUAAACAAGCUUCAAAAGGAAAAUGAUGUGUUUUGUAGCAAUGAAUUAGCAAAUCAUUAUCUCACAAAAUUUCUUGUACCAGAAAUGCUAAAUUUGAGCUCCCAAGCUUUUUUGAAAACCUUCUUUCAAAAUUCGAUCAUCAAAGAAUUAGAAUCAAUGUGAAAUAAUGAUUUAAACAAAACCUAAGAUACAUGCAGUGCCUGAAUUUACGCAACGUGCACUUAAAGAGACUAUUUUGAAUGUUCAAAAUUUCAUUAACAAGAAGUGGGGGGGAAGGGAAAGAACACUUCAUUUCUGUAUAUGAAGAAAGGUAGAAGAAGAUAGCAGGAAAAAGAAAAAGGAAAGAGAGAUAAAAGAUAAUAGGCAAAAGCUGUGGUUAACACAGCCUUUGAGUUCCGAGGUCAAUGCAGAGUUAUCGAAACGCAAAAUAAUAAGCAGAAUUAACCCAAAAAUGGAUUUGAAAAGUUGCAUGCCAGAGUUAUAAACUUCAAUAUCUAUGUAAUAUUUAUAUAAAAAUACAUAACUGCUUGGUGAGACACGACGAUUUGUGAAAUCUCCAUGAAAGUACAUAAAAGUUCAGACGUUAAACUAACAAUAAUUAAUUCAAUAUCUAAAACCCUAAUUAGAACAGCAACAACAAAUGCAAUGAUAAUAUUAUUCAUAUAGAGUGAAGAAAGCGCUAAAACUUAAGACAAAAACUAAAAGAAGUGAAGCUACGCAUUCUGAACCCUAGCGGUGAAGGCACUCAUGAGCUCUGGGUACUGAUGAAACUGAAACAUAUCAUCUGAAAUGGAUUCGGGACAGAGUGGCAGAUUUAGCGGCAGCUCAUUGUUUCCGUACAGCACCGCCUGAGACUGAAACUGAGAGCUAGUGAUGACUUCAUUGAAAUUCCCGAACUCAUUUUGGAGACUUGGCUGACCACCACCACCGACACCACCAACUUGACCUUGCGAGUCAAAAUAGAAACCCCCUACAGCAGAAGGCUCAACUUUUAUCCCAGAAGCUCUCUUCAUAUUAACCGACAUGUCAGACAUCAGAGGUGCAGUGAUAGAGUUCAUUGCUUGUGUGCUGUAAUCAUUUGAAGAGGGUUUUGUAAAAUCAUCGUCACAGGAUUUAUUGGACUUGGACGUGGGUUCAGGGAAGAAGCCUUGAAUGAUCUCUUGCAGCAAGCCAGAAUUUGAAGGUUCUUGCGGAAAGAACUCCAUGUGGUCAUCUACUAGUUUGGUAGCUUUGGUUGAGCUCACUACAGUGGCGGCGGUAGUACCAGUCGUAUUAUGAAACCCUUGUUGUUGAUGAUUAUAAGUUGGAUUCAUCGGGAAAGCGCCGGUACCGGAUGAGAAAGAAGCACUGAUAGUAGUUGGUGAAGAAGAUGAGUUGUUGCUGAUAAAAGGAAGCUGCUGGUCAAAUGAAUAUAAAGGCUGAUGAGGAGGAGGAGGAGGAGGAGGAGGAGCAGUAGUGGGGGUGUAAAAAGACGAACUUGAAGAAGAAGAAGAAGAGUUGCUCAACAAGUCACGUAAGAGAAGCAGGUUCAGUGCGGAAUUUUUCUCCUCAGGAACAGGGUUAGCAAAAGAUGGUGGGUUCAUAAACGGACGAGCAGUGUGAAAGGCUCUCACGGACGGCUGAGAUUGCUUUGAGAAAUUGAAGGGAGGGAUGAAAUGAUGAGGAGGGGCCUCUGUGGCAACCGCUGGGUAAACAAAGUUGGUUCUUGCUUUGAUACCACGCAUAGCUCGAGCCGCACAGUCAUAGGCGCAGGCAGCUUCCUCAGCAGUGUCAAAGGUGCCAAGCCAGCGCCUCUCCUUUGACUGUGGAUCCCGUAUCUCAGCGGCGUAGCGACCCCAAGGCCUACGGCGGACCCCGCGGUACCUCAUGGUGGUACCUGAAACGUUACCCCCAGUCUCUUUCAGUGACCUUUUGUUGCUGUUGGAAGUGGUGGAGGUGUUCUUUUUGCUUGUCUCUGAUUCAGGCAUCUGUGGCAUCCCAUUAAGCCUUCUCAGAGCUUCUUCCAUUUCUUGAACUCGUUUUUUCUUUUUCUUUUUUUUUUUUAAAUAAGAAAGAAGAGAGAAUAUUUGACGAUUAAUUAAGGCCGGGGGUAGUUCUCUAGUUUCUAGUGAGCAACUCAGAGAAAUUGGCACCUGGAGUUUGCUGGCGGUGUUUCCUAUUUAUAGAGAGAAGCGGGGUUUGGGGGUUGGGUGGGGGGCGUGCCUUGAAGAUAGUGGAUGGUGAUUGAUUUAUUAAUGCAUUUGGUGUAACACAAAAUUCCAAAAAUAAGGUAUUAGAAAAUAUAUUAAUUAGUUAAUCAAUCAAUCAACAUUCUGACGACUAGGAUCAUCUGCUGGCCAACCGUCAGAUUUUAGAGGGUUGUGAUCAUUCUAUUGAAAUCUUGUUGCUUCUGGGUUGUUGUUGUUGUUAUUAUUAUUUUAAUAACAAUGAAAUUCUUUGCAGACUGUUUAUAUAUUUAUAUAUCCAAAAAAGAAUAUUGUUUAAUAAGUGUUGUCAAGUUACUAAUUUAUAAUAAUCUAAAGGCUGCAUCAAUUAAAGUAGGUAUAAUAAUCUAAAUAUAUUUAGCAAUUAAACUACACUUAGUUUAAUUGAUGCAACCUUUAGACUAUUAUAAAUUAGUAACUUAACAAAGUCCUUGUUUAAUCGAAUAUGUGCCGGGGUGAUGUUACUAUUUUUGUUAUAUUUCUUCUGUGCAUUCCCCUUCUCACAAUGUAGCUGCAUGCAAUAAUUCAUUUUUUAGGGAAUUAAAUGUAGUCAUUAGGUUUUAUAUUCAUGUUUCAGUAAUCAUCAUACCUAUUGUUAUUAUAUUUUGCUUGUACCCUUAGCCUAAUGUUGUGAAGCUGUGGUUAUCACUUUUCAAGUACUUCCCGCUAGCACUAGGUUAUUUAUUUAUUGUUUAUUACUAUUAUUUUGCUGAAUUUGAAUUCAGUUCUAAAUAAAAGUUGUGUUAAUCUCUAAAAGAUUUAGUGAGUCAGUGACAUAUUGGCAAGAUUUAUAUUUAUUAUUUUUUUUAUUGAAAGACAUUUGCGAUUGUACAAAACUGCGAGAUAAUUCAAAUGAUAAAAAACGUGAGAUGAAGGAAAAGAAAGUUAGGAGGAAAAUAGAUGGUAGGGAGAAUUGAAAAAAUAUUGAAGAAUGAUAAAUGAGGGAGGGAGGGAGAGAGAGAAAGCACAUUAAUCCUUAAUUUAUGAUAAAAUUAUAUGAUAUUAAUCUAUUAAAUCCUAAUGUCGAUAAGUUUUUAAUCUAAAGACCUAAAAUUAGUGUAAAACUGAGUGUAAUUAUUGGAAACUCUUGGUAUAGUCCCAGAUAUGUAAACAUAGUUUUUGAUACUUAAUUACCUCCGAUUUAGUUUGACUUGAUGAGUUAUAUUGUCUUAGUUAGUUAGUAUGAGCUUGAAAAACUUGGAGAAAUUAAUGGGCAGCUCUUGCCGUGCCAGCUAAUGGAGAGCUCUAUUGCACAGUAAUUGCCUUGUAUUCCCGAGAGCCGUGGGUGAAAAUAAGGGAGUGCGAGACAGGAGCUGUCGUUUUGCAGUUAUGUGUGUAUAAGAGCGUAAUUGAUUGAUGCAGAUUGAAGAUUAAAAAGUUAUUGGAGAACCAACCAUCCCUUAAUUAUACGUUUCAUAUUCAUUUCAUCUCAUGAAUUUCUUACAAAAUAUUACCCACGUUUCCAUAAAUAGCUCUGCAUACAUAUCCACACGUCUCUGUUUAACAUGUAAUCACAAAAAGUUUUGCUUAGUUGUUUUUUCUAUAUAUAUAUAUGGGGAAGUUGAAGAGCUCUAUCGAUCUUGCAGUAAUUGUAAUUCUGAUUUCUGAAUGAUUACACUGGCGGCGCUCAGAAGUUGUUCCUCCAACUUUGGCUCUGUGUCAAUUUCUAGCUGGUUUCACAAGUAUUUUUUGUGAUAAUAAUUAAUUAGGUGUCCUUGAAAUCAUAUUUUUUAAAUAUAUAAAUAUAUAUUGUGUACAGUAAUAGUGAGGGUUAGGGUUUGAAAACCAAGGGAUUAUGGUCACAUGGACUUGUCUGAAGUGGGGAUUUGAGUAGGGGUCUUUAUCUUCAAGACAAGGGUUUUAGGGUUCAGUUGGUUGAUGGAGACUAAAGUUGUACUAUUCUUUCUUUGAGUCAGGAAUGCUUGUAAAAAGCUACGGCAGAUGUCUACCAACCCCGUGGCCGUGGCCGUGGCCCUGGACCCUGGCCAUGUCCAUGUCCAUGCCAUUACAUCCAUAACAUUCAUCUGAUCUCUUCUUUAACCUUCACUAAUUGCUUAAUUUUCUUCGUUAACCUUUAGUCUAUCUGAUCUUUCGAUUACAAGUUCAAGUUCAAGUUCAAGGGAAUGGUUAGUGAUCCAAAACCAGAUACAUUAAUCAGCAAAAUUUAUCUAUUAAUUAAAACAAGCACAAGCGCAUGCAUGCCAAAGAUGACUCUUUAUACUAGGCUUUAAUUCUAAUCGCAAUGAGGCUGCAGCUGCUACCCUUGGCGAGAUGUAAAACUCGCUUCUUCUACGGAAUGAUUAAAAAUUUGAGAUAUGAAAAUAUUAUACUGUCUCGUUUUUGUUAUCAUUAAUUCUGGAUCCACACUUUGUAACAUCCGAGAGAUGUUAAUGCUAUUAAAUAUGUGCUAUUUUAAUUAAUUAUAUUCAUUGUAUGAUGUAUUGUAUUUGAAACGAGCAUAUAUGUGAUAUGUCUAUCGAACUACGUAUGCAUGAUCUCAUGUAAUCAAGAGAUAGUAUAUAUCAUAUGAAUACAGAAUGACAUGAGCAAAUCUCGUGGAAGUAUAUUUGAUAUAUAAUUGAUAAAGCUAGGUAAUGAGCAGUGAGUAUCAGCAGAGAUCCCAUCAGCUGAUGAGGCAUGCAUAGGUAUCAAGCGGGAUACAACUAGUAGUUCCCUUGCAGGAUAAAUUAAAUUAAAUUAAAUAGAGAAGAAUAACAGUGUGUACACGUAUGGUAUGAUCACGACGCAUGAGAUGAGCGACAAGAGAUAGUAAAUGACGGUGGAGGAAUAAGGGCGGAGCGAAGAAGGAGACGCCAAAACCCAAAAAGCCCUCGAAGUAAAUUAAAGAUUUUAACGACAAAGGAAGAGAUCCUGUCAGACAGACCGAUACAAUAUAAUAUUACAUCAUUUCACCAUUCGAAUUGAAUUAACCAGCUUUAUUAACUGCUGCCAGAAAAAAAAUAAAAAUAAAAUCCCCCAGAGACUUUAUGCGUCUACCUGUCUACCGUCGACUUGUAUUAUAUAUAUAAUGCUUCUUCUUUUAUUUAUUUAUUAUUCUUUUACUACAAAAAUAACGAGAUAUCGGGAAUGUCUUUGCGCUAUUCAUUGCCUUUUGGCAUAUCCCCAUCAUCACAUCCCAUCCGUCAACACUUCUCAAGUUGCUGUCACGGGUUUCUUCAUAUUUUUUGGAUUAAUAUUUAUUAAUUACAAACCAAAAAAUAUACUGUUAAUUACCCAAAGCAAAUAACCACAAUUUCCGUUUUCAAAUAUACUGAUACGUAUCCUGUUACGUGCGACUGCAUGCAUAAGAUCAUCCCUCUAUAUACAAAAAAAAAAAAGUGUCUGUGUGGUGGCAAUAAUAAUGGCCUUUUUAACGGUUCCCCGACACUAUUUUCCAGCCUUUGCACCGUAGCAAAACAGUGGUUUCUGAUAAGGAUGUUCGAGAGUCUUGAUAUUAUUUGUAGUUGUAGACUGCAAUAAUUAUGAAUAACGUCUGUACGUACAUUUGAGCGUAUCCAUAUUCAAUUCUCUUUACGCAGAUGCUUCAGAUACGCUUACAUGCCUUUGCCCUAAACAAAAUCCCCACGUUAUUAAUUGUUUGCUCCUUACUGCUGGCUGCAAUGCCUUUUAAUUAAUGUAGGCCCUUGCUUCAAGUGUUGGUCGGCAUCAUGCUUCAUUUAUUUCUGAAAAAUAAUGGAAGUACAUGUUUCGUAGAUCCUUCUAAACCUGUAAACUUUGUAAACGAAAUUAAAUUUGUUAGCUUUUUGCUAAAAUGUCCUAUUAUUAGUCAAUUACGUAUAAAAUUAUUUUGAUCCAUCUAUUUAAGCAUAGUAUGAUCUUACAUUUCACGUAUGUGAACAGAAUUUGAAUUCAAAUCUAUUUUGAGAUUCUUGCCUCUCCCUUGUCCAUUAUCCAAUCGUUGCAUUUUUUUUUUUUGUUUGCAUGGUAGAAAUUUUAUUAAAAGAGAAGUUUCAUUAUAUUCCGUGACUAAUCGAUUUAUUGUAUCUACGAAUCAAACUUCCCCCGGCUUCACUCAAGUUUAAAAUAAUAAUAAAAAAAAAUCUAGAUUUGAGUUGCAAAAUUUUAAAAAGGCCACAGAAGGUCACAAACUCACAUCGCAUAAAAGGAUAUUAAUUAAUUAUCGUAAGAAAUAUCAUGUACCAAAAGUUAUACGCGAUUGAAAACCAUUAAUGAAGGAAAAAUUACAUAAUCUAUAUGUAUAUAUACUUGAAUGUAUACUCGGCGAACUUCUUUUAAUUGAAAAAAGAAAAUGAUUCACAAAUUCUUUCGUCAAAAGCUGGCGAAUUACCAAAAUUAUGAUUUUAAAUGUAGUAAAUAGUUACGUUUAGAGUUGUAAUUGGUCACGUGUGCAAAUAAAAAGAAACGACAAUGAAUUAACUAACGUGAGACCCACGGCAAGACCUAGGUAACGUAGCAUCAUAUUUGGUUUGUACUCGAACAACUUUUAAAAUUUUUUUUUUAACGUACAACAUUUUUAAAUUUUAGCUAGUAAAAAGGGUGUAUAAAGCCUUUUUUUUUUUUAAAUAAAAAAAAUUCGUACGAAAGGAGAGAAGAAACACAAAAAGUAGUAGUGUGGACAAGAAAAGUCAACCAGUGCACGGGCAGCCGCAAUAUUAAGAGCACGGGCGUCCUACAUAAGAGCAGCCUGCACAGUCUACAAAUGCAAAACGGUUUCAAAAGAAAUCAAUGGCCGUGAUUACUUAGAUGUAACAGUUUCAGACGCGAGGGGCACGUGGCACAAGAUUAACAUGGGAUUAUGGGAGGCAAUAUCCUGUUGAGUCCUGACAAAUUAAUCGAAAUGAAAGCAACAUGGCACAAGUUAUCAGUGAGCAAGGCCGACAUAAGUAAAUUAUGGGAUUUCAGGCUUGUGGGGUUGGCAUUAUUUGGCUUGCUUAUUUCUAAACACACCAACAGAAAAAUUAAUGUGUGUGCCCACUGCCCCGUUAAGAUAUAACAUGUACAUAAUUCAAUUCAGAAUUUACAUCAAAUCAACCCCACAUGCGACAUUGAUUUCUUUAACUAUUUAUUAUGUGUAAUGUAGCCGAGGAUCAAGUUCUUGCCCUGUCUGACCAGUGAAGAGUACAAGUACCUCAAAUGAAAUGAUGAUAAUGGUAAUGAAUGACGAUAGGUGAUGGAUUUGGCUUUGGCAUACGUGCAAUAUCAAGUUUGUAGGUUCAUCAUGGGAUCAGGUUCUCUGUAAUUAUGGGGGUCUUGCUAAGUUGCCCAUGCAAAAAUGAAGUGGAUCCCAUUUCCUUGUAAUUCCUUUUUGCAUGUUUUAGGGGUAAUGUAUAUUACAUGAAUGGUAACUUAGCAACAGCCUAAUUAUAUACAUUGGUUGGUUUUUGCUUGAAAGAGAAACAAGUUUGUAAAGUUAAUUACAUUAAGCAGGAAGCUUUACUAGAGAAGGUUAUCCGCUGCGUGGGACGUUAUACAAAAUUGUGUUAGCUAGGGGAGUGCUUUGUAGAUAUAGAGUAUAUGAAUCUUAGGGCUGGUCUUAGAAAAACAUGAGUUACAAGUAGCACAUAUAUGAUAUAGUAAUCUUAUCUUAAAAAAUAUAAAUUAAUCAUCAAGGGCAUCGAGAUUAAGCUCAAUUUAUGUAAGGUAUAAAUAAUAAGGAAUCCCGAAUCCGUUACUGUAUCAAAGUAAAGAUCAAAUCAAAAGGUAAGUAAAACGUACAUUCUACUAUAAUAUGUUUUGUCAAAUAAUAUAUGAUGCUUUUAUCUUUUAACUUAUUCUUACAUCAUUAAAAUAAAAGAUCCCUUAUUAGAAGGCGACUUUAUAGUAUAUAUUUUAUUUCUACAAUAACUUCGUAAUCAAUGAUUUCUUAUUUUAACAAAAUGAAGACCAAACUAAAAUAGAACACACACUCCAAUACAAUGUGUUUUAUUUUUUUUAGCGUAGUUGAUUGCUUAGGGAAAAAUAUUUGACAUCAAAUGAGAUUAAUUAUGCCAUUAAUAAUAUAAGGUUGAGACAAAUCCUCAACUCUUAGCUAACCAUUAAGUAAGAGUUAGGCACAUAAUUUUAUUUUAUUUAUAUAGUAUCAGGACCAAACUCAACUAUGACUCUAUGAAUAGUUUACAAUGUGAUUAGAGUAUGUAAAUACAUCACUCAAAAUUAUCUUACUACAUGACAAUGAUCAAAAUGAAAAACUAACUUUAUGUUAUAAGGGUAACCGAAAAAAUAUCUCACAUUAGCUCAAAUUAGUUAACUUCUGAAUAUAGAGAAAUAGAGAAUUUCUACAAAUGGAUUAUACUUUUGUAGAGGUUGGCCUAUAUUAGUAUCUCUAUCCAAUGGUUUAUAUGUUGGUAUCUUUAUCCAGUGGUUUAUAUGUUCUUGGAGUUACGGAAGUGGCCACUCGUAAACUUUUAACCACAGCUCGUGGGCGAAAAACCGAUUAUUUUGACUUUUGACAUAUUCAAUUUGCUGCGAUCGCUUUAUAAUGACAAAGUAAACACGAAGUGUCUUUUUUUCCCCGUAUAAAUCCUUUUAAAAAAAAAAGGAUUUUGAAGUUUUCUUCGUUAAAAUAGACUAUGUACAUCUGUGCACUUCACCUGUUAAUUAAUGGAUUGGUCCAGACCCCAGACGGUCAAACUAUACAUAACUCAUUGCACCCAAUUCCUAACAAAAAUUAAUUAAUCACUAUCACUUUGAACAGAUGUUCGGCUGUCUCUGGGCUGGCAUAAUGAAUCUUCAAGGAGGUCGUUCAUAUAUCAUAGUAUGUAAAUGUUGGUAUAAGAAUUAAUAUUAUUUAAUUUAAACAAAGUGAGUGGGUUUCUAGGUAAGGCAAUAGUAAAUUUUAUAAGAAAUUAAUCUACAUAUAUCCAGCCUUUAUCGUAGUUCAUCAUGGGAUCCCUGAAGAAUCAUGCAUAUUGGUAAUGGUAAAGUAGGUUGGUUCAGAUCCUUUUUUAUUGGCACCUUAAAAUUUUCCAAAAACCUUAAGACUGUUAAAAUUGGGAAAGAAACAAAGGACCCUUUACACGCUCCUCGCUCGCCCUCUAUUCCAAACUCAUCGGUUACUUUUUGGUGGAUGUGAACGUCGCUGUCAAAUGUCUAUCAUACAUGCACGUCCCGUCGUUCAGUCCUCACUUUUCAUGCGUGCCUUUUCUCUCUAGCCAUAGCCCCCACACACCCCACCCUCUCUCUCUCAGUCUCUCUGUCUUCACGCACACAUACACACGCGGCGCAAGUUAGAGACCCGUGCCGUGGCAACAAACAUCUGCGUUACUCUUUUCGACAUCCUGAAAAAAGUUGGGGAUAAUAGCAGACCAGAGAUUGGGUUACGUUAAAAGAAAAGAAAUCAAAAAUAGAAUUGUGAAAAUAAAUGAACACAAUAUUUGUAUGUUUAUCUGUGUUUGUUGGUACGUGCGUCCUUUCAUAGCUCAAUGGGCAAUAGCCAAUAUGGCUAGGAUUUCAUAAAAAGAGAGACGUGUGACCGACAUAAAAGUAACACAAACUUAAUACUAUGAUAAGCUUUUUCUUUUAUCCCCGGUUAAUUCUAAGCUCCAAUGGGUGCUCUUAGUUGGAACCGGACAAGAUCCCUGAAUGCUAAAACCAAGUGUCAGAUAUAUCGGGGCAUCAUCAUAAGAAUGGAGGGCUGCGAGUACUGUGAAGAAGCCACGCGUUGCUGAGUAUUACUGACGACCCAAAAAAAAAUAAAAAGAAAGGAUAAUUUAGCGAUGGAUGUUACAUGUUGAACUUUUCAAAGUAGUGGUUAGUAGGAUAUUGUAGACCUGUAGGUUUUGCCUAGACAUUUUUGGAUCUCGAAAACGUAGUAACCAAACCAAAGUAGGGUGGUUUGUAUCAGAGAUUAGGGUUAGGGUUAGAGUUUUAAGUUCGUGUGUCCGAAUGUUAGCUCUCCUCUCUCGCACGUGCACGCGUGUGUGUGUAUUAGCGUGAGUGAAGAAGCUUUAUCCUUGCGGUGAAGAAAGAGGGGACAUGCAAUUUUUCACUUUUUCAAAUUAAGGUUUUUUUUCUCAGUAAUUGUAUUGGCAUUUUUAAAUCUUCUGUUGCAUCAUAACCCAUCGAUAUUUACUAAACCAAUUGUGUGUGCAUACAUAGAUUUAACUUUUUAGUGAGAAAGCUUUCAAUUUCUUAAAAUUUACACUUAUCUUUAGCGUAUUAGAGCUCGUGUUUAAAAUAGAAAAUUUAUUUAAAAUUUAAAUAAAACCAUUUUACUUAAUUUCAUGUCAUAACUUGUCAUUCAUUUAUUAGAUUUUUAAAUUUUAUAACUUAAGAAAUUAUUAUUUUAUUGUCUAAGUGAUGAAUCAUAUCAUUCGAGACUCUAACUAUGACUAAAUGGGUGUUUAUUUUUUAACUUAACGAUCUAGAGUGACUUAACUUAAUUAGUUAAGUUAAUUAAAAAUGCUUUAUGGGAUCUUUUAAAUAAUUCUUACUUAAUAAAAUGAGUUAUUAUUUUUUUAAUACUUUUUACUGAAUAGAGAAAUCUAAAUUUUGAGUAGAGAAAUAUGAAUCAACAAUUAAUUUAUAAUGUAAAAAAUAUGCUUACUUUAUUAUUUAUUUUUCAUGCCUAUUCCAAAACUCAUCGUACACAUUUAUCUACUAAUAAACUCAUCUUUAUUUUUUUCAGCCGUCAUGGAAUCCCUUCUCACUUUUCUUCUCUCAUCAAGUUCUUGAAUCUUCCAUUAUCAGUAAUUAAAGAUAUUAUUCUUAAGUUUUUUUAUGGAAUUAUACAGUCUAUUUUCAUUUAAAAAGAAAUUUUAUAUGUUGUAAUUCUAAAAUCAUUAUAUAUUCACUUGAACAUAGUUUUGCAUACAUACAUACAUACAUACAAACAGACAUACAUACAUAUAUAUAUAUAUAUAUAUAUAUAUAUGUGUGUGUGUGUGUGUGUGUGUGUGUGUGUGUGUGUAAUUUAACAUUCAAAUUUAAUAAGGAUACAAAUGUAAAAAUAUAUAUAUAUAUAUUUAAUUUUUAAAGUUAAAAAAAUAAAUAACUUAACACUUAUUUAUAGAAAUUCUGACAAAAAAAAAAAUGAUUCAAAUUCAGUUAUCAAGAUUUAUGUAGAUUUCUGUAUAACUCAGGUCUAUUUUAAUUUUAGAUGAAAAACAAAUGCCACUUAAGAUUCCUAACAUUUUUUUCUAACAUACCUUUUUCAAUUUUUAAAAAAGGUAAUUACUAAAAAUAAUUUUUUAAAAAUAAAUUCUUUAUUUUUUUGAGAAAAAAAAAACCUUUUUAUAUUAUAGAACAAAUUCAAGAACGCGGCUAGGAAAACAAAUCCAAAGUUGAGAAUCUAAAGAAAUUCUUUUCAUCAAGAUUCAAAAACCACCCACUAGUUGACACGUAACCUAUAGUCAAUAAGUUCUGCCCUUGAUCAUAAUUAAUUAGAGAGACAGGCAAAUCAGACAACGUCUUUUCGUAAGGUUUGAUUGAUUAAGUUUGGGGAGUCUCAAGUACAGCUUGAAGCAUGCAUCAUAUUUGGAUCUGCGGGCCACGAUCGCGCAUCACCAAUUUGCCUUUUGAAGCUUUGCCGCUUGCUACUUUGAAUUUCUGUAGUGAUUAAUAUCCCUUGAGAAACGGGGUCAAAGAUUUUACGGUGAUAGCCGAUUGGUUUCAAUUUUUGGUCGGCCUAUUAUUUUCAACUUUUGAGAACAACUGUUAAAAUUAAAACUUAAAAAAAUUCUUUUUGGGCUUGUUUUAUCGUAGGCGAUACGGAAAAAGUCAAUGGACAUCUCUUUCCUUCGAUAUGGCGGGCUCCAUAGGCUCAAUUUCUAAUGGGCCCAAUCGAAUCAGGUUAACGAAUCCAAGACCAUCACAAUUUAUAAGACAAGUUGGGGAAAUUUUCAGCGGCAAAAGGUGGCUUAUUGAGAUUAUUAUAUUUGGCAGAAAAUCGAAGCUACCUUAUCCUAGAGCUGGCAAAAUGGGUAAUCGAGUCGUGUUCGUGUCGUGUUAAAUUUAGGUUGAUCUAAACCUGACCUAUUUAAUAAUCGUGUCAAAAUAUUGAGAUCCAAACCCGACACAAAAAAAUAAUCAGGUUACCCAAUAACCCGCUUAAUAUCUAUAUAUUAAACAAAAGUUACAUCAAAUAUUUACACUUUGUCAUACAUAUGUAUGCACAUACAUACAUACAUAAUUUAUCAAUAUUAUAAAAUAUACAUAUCUACUAAAAUAUUACACACACUAUUGAGGUUUUAAUUAUAUAUAUGUAAAUAAUAUUAUAUAUCAAUAUUAUAAAAUAUACAUGUCUACUAAUAUUUUAUACAUUUACACUAUUAAAGCUCUAAAUGUAUUUAAAAUUUUAUAAAUAAAAUAUUGUAUCUAUAUUCAUCCUUUUAAAGAAGAAAAAAAAAAUCAUCUCUAAUAUUUGAGUUUUGAUGACAAGAAUCUGCAAAUUAUUUUAAAAUAGAAAAUAUAAUCGGGUCAUUGAUCUGGUAAAUGGGUCAAGAAUUUUAACCCUAACCCGAUACGGAAAAAAAUCGUGUUGACCCGGACCCGACCCAUUUAAUAAUUGUGUUAAAUUCGACGACCCAUACCCAUUUAUUGGUGUCGUGUUCGUGUCGGGUAAUCGGAUCGUGUCAAAUUUUGCAAGGUCUACCUUAUCCUAUAGCUAUUGAAGGGACUUGAAUGGUCCGUUAGUAGAAGCAAGAUUGGUGACAACCGAUCUCCUUUGUGAGGCCAAUCCAUUUGGCAUUCUCCCAUGGCUUCCUGAACACCCCUGUAUUCCACAACAGGUAUCUUGUGGCGAUUAGAGGAGAGGGAUGUUGGUCAUCACUGAAACGUCUAGAGAAUUAUUUCAUUAAGUAGGUAAAAGAAUCUUUGUCCAUAAAGGAAUCCAUCGAUAAAAUGCCUUAACAGUUCUUCGUACAUAACAUAACUAAAAUUGACUGAAGAGUACGCGAAACCUGUUGAAGACAUUUACGAUCUAAAGCAAUGCAAUGCUCAAAAACUAUGACACCUAAUAUUUGUUUCAAUAUUUGAUUGGAUAUAAAAGUUCUAGAACUGCUGGUCAGUCAUCUCAUAGUUCCUCGGAGGUCUGGGAUGGCACUAGGCAUCCAUCUGUGCUGCUGGAUAUAAUUAAUCUUGUCAUAAUCGUACGUCAUCAGUUGAUUUCCAGUCAAAAGAUCCCUAGGACCUAGGUUUUGCUUCAUUCUCUCCGUCUUGAGACUCCUAACAACAGCAGUGGCAUCUUGCUCAGCAAUCCAUUGCGGAGAAACCUGAGCCCAGAGUCUUGCCAGGAGCCUUUGCAAUCAGCCUUAAUGCUUCAUUCUAUACGAAUUGAUUGCUGCUCCUAGAGGAGAGCAGGCAGUGACAAUUAUAUCUAUUAUCGGGAUAUGUAUGUUUGGAAUUAAAGUGUUGCAAUCCACAGCUUUAAGCUACUGGAAUGAAAUCAUUAGCUGAUAAGUGAUGGAUGUUGCUAAUGCCUUAUAAUUUUAUAGCUUUAAGCUAGUGGAAUGAAAUGAUAUUUCCCCUAAUCAAAAUUAAAUUACUUCACAGAUUGUAAACAUCUAUCAAAAUGAAAUAUUAUGUAUGUAUUCCGACAAUAUUGUCUUUAAUAAAUUGAGUUAAUUAACUAAUUUAUGUAUUUUUUAUUAUUUUAUAUAAUGCCAGUGAAUGAGAUACAGGUCAACAUAGUUCAUCUAAGGCGUCCUGCACACAUACUUCUGUAAGCUCAGCUUGAUUAGACCUGGCAUAGAGAAUAAAAGAAAAAAAAAAUGCUUUCUUUUCUACCUGUUUUAGUCCAUCUUGAACGUUACCAUGUUCGAAUUAUAAAUAAAACAAAAUGGACACUUUGAGGAUUGAGACCUAGCUAUUGAAAAAAAAAAAAAAAAUUCUUUUCCAAUUUUUAUAACUGUAGUCAUAAGCAAAUGUCUCUAGACACACAAUCUUCAGAGCAGAAUCCAAGUACUCAAACCAGUCACUCUUACACGCCUCAGAACAAUUAUUAAUAGAAGUUUCUUUCUCAAAACAUGCCUAUGGCAAUCCAGGAAAACCGUUUAGUAUAUCAAACCAACUCUAUGCCUAAAAUUUGACGAUUAUGAGGAGCAGGCAAUUACCAGUACUGAAGCUGAUUCAAAGGAUACCGACGGUGAGAGAAGGAUUCGCUCCACAUGGAAACCUUCUCUUGGCUUUCAGUCUUGAGGCAGUAGUUCACAAGCAUUACUUGCCUGGUAAAGAGUGGGUAUUGCAGCUCAACUGGAAGGAUGUUAAAUCGAUCCACGCAAACACUCAAAUGAUGCGAUCGCCUAAUAAUGGCACCUAACAGUCGAGAAAAUGUUAUUGAAGAACAGGAUAUAUGAUUCCAUGAACUGCGCUUUCACAUGAUAGAAUAUAUUCAGAAAGCAGGUGAAAAAUUCAUAAGCAACAUAUCUGCCGCUGCUGCAUCAACAAACCUCUUAAGAUGACUUGAUAUUUUACUAUAACUAAACAGUGUUGACUGUAUCAAAAACUCUCAAACCAGAUGCCCAUUUGCAAGCCAAAUUUUUAAAACCUAAUACAACCGAUCAUAACCAUACUUUAUUUACCACACCCAAUGCAAGAAUCAACCAGCUAUAGUUGUAACAUCAAACACUAAAACAUUACAAAAACCACAACAGACAGUGUGUUAAUUGAAGAAGUAUAGCUGUAACAAUUUCUUACACGCACCAGAACCUCUCUCAUCAUCAACUGUACAUAUGACAACUUUUGGAUACAAAUCUGCAAUGACCAGGCCAUCAUGAAAUCAUAAUUGUUGAUCCAAAUAUGGAUCUGCAGAAGUUUUGCCUCCUCCCAGAUACCCUCCAACACUUUGAGAAACUCCGGAAACAAAGUUAGUCAACAUAGAAGAUCCCCAUGCCAGCCAUCCGCUCUGAGCUUGUUGCUGCUUGUUUGCUUCAAGUAUGCUCUUCUGUUGUGCCUCAGCUAUAAUGUCAUCCCACCUCUUUGCCAUAAACUCCUUGACGGCCUCAACCCCUUUAUUGACUAUCUCCAUUGGGGGAAUAACAAGUGGGUUCUGGUCCAGGUUGAGCUUGGUUAGAUUUUCAAGCCUGAAAAAUGUGUCAGGAAGAGCUCGGAUUUGGUUGUUGCUGAGAUCAAGCUCCCUCAGAUUUAUCAGAUCGCCAAUAGUUUCAGGAAGCUCAGUCAAGUCAUUGAAAUUACUGCUCAGGUUCAGCACCUCAAGUCUAGUCAAUUUCCCAAUUGCACGUGGCAGGCCAUGAAGCUCAUUGAAAUGGGCAUCCAGAUAUUUCAGAGACCUCAUUUCACAAAUUGAUGGAGGAAAAGUGCGUAGCUUAUUUAGCUUGAUUGAGAGCCUCUCAAGAUUCAGUAGUCCAUACCCAAUAUUUGUUGGGAGACACACCAAAUUGUUAAAGCUUGCAUCUAACUCCACCAAUGAACUAGAAAUGCAGUUAGCAACCAAUAGUUAGAAACAGGCAAAGAGAAACUUCAAGGAAAAGGAAAAUAUAUGUCCCCCAAGAUCAACAGAUGGAUUUGGAUAGAAAAUCCGUAGAAGAGCAGAUCGUAAUGAAAUACCUGCAGCGAGCAAUGCUUUCAGGAAGGGUGUUAAGCUUGUUUCCUGACACAUUAAGGACUUUCAGAUUAAGCAACAGUCCAAUAGAAUCAGGCAGGGACUGUAGAAGGUUGGAAGAAACAUCAAGUUCUUCAAGUUUCUGUAAUCCUGCUAUUGAAUCAGGCAUGGCCUGUUUAAACAAACCAUAAGUUAAAAAGGAUCCAUGUCAACAGAUGCUACAAAUUCCACUUGCUAAGAUGUUUCUCUUAUCAUCAAAGAAACACAGUUCCUUCGUCAGUGAAAAAUGAAGGAUAUCACAAUUCAUACAUGGUUCAGAAGAAUCUGAUUUAUAUUGCAAAUGACCAACAUGUUCUUAAAGUGCUCUACAACAAAGAAAUAUUUCAUCAACCAAAACAAGAUUUUAUACAGGAAAAGCAUCCACCUUAAGUGAGAUAUCUGACUGAUGAACAGAUAAUAUGGACUUCAGCUAAUUGUAAUCAAUUAAAUAAGCUCCAAGAGAACAGCAGGACAAACUUAACGAGUUCUAACUAGAAAUACAAGAAAUCAUUAAUGUCACACUAUCAUGUAUCAAAACAUAAAAUGAAUUCAACAAUGAUUUUUCAUGUCAACAUUUGAAAUUAUAGACGAAUAUCCAAUAAAGGAAACUAAGCAGCAAUUUGAAUUCACAAUAAAUUCAAGCAUCACUCAUGGCAAUCAAACCACUACGAAGUAAUGAUAGUUAAUUGACCCAGCCCAACUAAAGCUUCUAGCAGUACAAACAUUACAGAAGAUAUUGAAUCACAAGCUCGCUCACCG